rnacentral:rRNA from 1 species
GACGUAGGGCGCGAGCGUUGUCCGGAUUUAUUGGGCGUAAAGAGCUCGUAGGCGGCUUGUUGCGUCAGCUGUGAAAACCCGCAGCUCAACUGUGGGCUUGCAGCUGAUACGGGCGGACUGGAGUACUGCAGGGGAGACUGGAAUUCCUGGUGUAGCGGUGAAAUGCGCAGAUAUCAGGAGGAACACCGGUGGCGCAAGCGGCUAUCUGGACUGACAUUGACGCUGAGGCACGAAAGCGUGGGGAUCAAACAGG